GGGAUGCCCUCCAGGGCCUGGCCGAGCAGUUGCAGGCCACAUCCCAGAUGACCUUCCAGAACAGAAUAUCCUUAGACAUGAUUCUAGCUGAAAAGGGGGGUGUAUGUAAAAUACUACCUGACACCAUGACUUAUAUCCCAGAAAACACAAGUCCGAAUGGUAAAGUCACUUUGGCCAUAGAGAAGUUAGAGAAACUCUCAGAGGAGUUGAAGAGGCAUUCUGGGGUAACAGAUCCCUGGGAAAGGUGGUUUGGUUGGAUGUCAGGUUGGCAG